AUGCAGUCGAGCGCACCUUCGGGUGAGCGGCGGACGGGUUAGUAACGCGUGGGAACAUACCCUUUGGUACGGAAUAGCCUCUGGAAACGGAGAGUAAUACCGUAUGAGCCCUUCGGGGGAAAGAUUUAUCGCCAAAGGAUUGGCCCGCGUUAGAUUAGGUAGUUGGUGGGGUAAUGGCCUACCAAGCCUACGAUCUAUAGCUGGUUUUAGAGGAUGAUCAGCAACACUGGGACUGAGACACGGCCCAGACUCCUACGGGAGGCAGCAGUGGGGAAUCUUGGACAAUGGGGGCAACCCUGAUCCAGCCAUGCCGCGUGAGUGAUGAAGGCCUUAGGGUCGUAAAGCUCUUUCGCCUGUGAAGAUAAUGACGGUAGCAGGUAAAGAAACCCCGGCUAACUCCGUGCCAGCAGCCGCGGUAAUACGGAGGGGGUUAGCGUUGUUCGGAAUUACUGGGCGUAAAGCGCACGUAGGCGGACUGGAAAGUUGGGGGUGAAAUCCCAGGGCUCAACCCUGGAACUGCCUCCAAAACUAUCAGUCUAGAGUUCGAGAGAGGUGAGUGGAAUUCCGAGUGUAGAGGUGAAAUUCGUAGAUAUUCGGAGGAACACCAGUGGCGAAGGCGGCUCACUGGCUCGAUACUGACGCUGAGGUGCGAAAGUGUGGGGAGCAAACAGGAUUAGAUACCCUGGUAGUCCACACCGUAAACGAUGAAUGCCAGUCGUCGGGUAGCAUGCUAUUCGGUGACACACCUAACGGAUUUAAGCAUUCCGCCUGGGGAGU
rnacentral:rRNA from 1 species